AUAAUAUAAUUUCAUUUGCUGUUCAUUAUAUAAUUCAUUGGUAUAUUUUACUGUAAAAUAAUAAAUUGAUUGUAUGCACUGUAAAGUAACAUUAAAUCCAUAUGCUAUACAAUAGUGUAAAGCACACAAAAAAAGGUUAAUCAGCUUCCACCACCCAAAGGUUAUUUAAAACACAUUUUCUUACUCCUUGGUUUCGAACAGCCCUUUGCCUUUUAAGUAUUUGGAUGAGAAAAGCCACAGUCUUUUUUGCAUGUAAAAUUAUGAUUUCCUUAAAAAUAUCUUAAUUUCUAAAUUGGCAGAAUAAUAUUCUAAAUUUUGGGAUGGUGACUCGAUACUCUCUCUACGUACAGAGCAUCCAACGCCAGAAAUGUGCAAUCUAUGACACUCCAAGUAUAAAAGGCAAUGGCUCCCACAAUGUUUAAAUGAUUCUAAUUUGUGAAUAUUUUAGCACAAUAAUGUAAUUUACUAACAACUCCCUUUUUGAUUAAUGAAUUACAAGUGGUAAAAGCAAAAACAAACACAAAACAAACUACAACUAAGUAUUACUUGCGUGUAAGCUUUUUUUGCACUUUUUGUCACUACUUGUCUUUUUUUAAGUGGCAAUAUUCAAAAAGUAGAGCAUUCACCAUGGAAACAAAACAAAAUAUUCCUUCUUCUGGCUGUUCCAUUGUGCAUCUAGCUCUUUCAAUAUAAUACCCAUAAUAUACACCCUCAACAGGGCCAGAGUUUGAUUAUUCCUGCAGUUGCUGCCGUAUAACGCAUUUCUAAAUCCAAAUUUCAAUUGCAGGAAAUGCCAUAAUCAGUAGAAAAUGCUACAUCCAAAGAUCUUUGAGAUGGAAAAAUCAAAUGUAUAAUAUUUCUGUUUUUAUCAUUUUUACACUUCUUAACAUGCUAGUUCUUGAAACAAACUAGUUGAAACAUGUGUGAAACAUGCAUUUAACGAGAAUUAUAAAUGAAUAUAAAAUACUUUUUUUCUAU